rnacentral:misc_RNA from 1 species
GUGAAUCAUCGAAUUUUUGAACGCAAAUUGCACACUCUUCGGAGAGUAUGCCUGUUUGAGGGUCAGCCUAAAAAAAAAUCGACAUAGUCGCUGUUUCGCGGUGAUAUGCGUCGGAACUUGGGUCUUCUUAAACCUUUGGGUUUUAAGCGGCUUACAAUUUUCUUUUCGAUUCCACGAACGUUUCUAAGUUUUUCUUCUUAUACUUUUAAGGUAUCGUUCUUUAUUAGACGUGGCCGUUUCUUCGUAUCUCGUCCCUAAAUCUUUCGUUAACUCACC